GUAUGAUAGUCCUUGGCUUUGCCCAUAUACGGAGCUUGGACCAUGUCUUGGUGGGUAUUGAACUGGAGAUGACCUAAAACAUGCUUAUCCUGGAGCUGAGCAAUAGGAUGCAGGCACUUCCUUUGCUUCAGUUUACACCAUUGUCUCUCAUCCUAUGAGACCACUGAGAAGAGUCUGGCACCAUUCUCUUGACAUCCUCCCUUCAGUAAAAAGAGACAGAUGGAUCAAGGUGGAACACUG
rnacentral:lncRNA from 1 species